rnacentral:rRNA from 1 species
CACGUAGGCACCAAGCGUUAUCCGGAUUUAUUGGGCGUAAAGAGCUCGUAGGCGGUUUGGUAUGUCGGGUGUGAAAACUUAGGGCUCAACCCUGAGAGGCCACUCGAUACUGCUAUGACUAGAGUACGGUAGGGGAGCGGGGAAUUCAUGGUGUAGCGGCGAAAUGCGCAGAUAUCAUGAGGAACACCAGCGGCGAAGGCGCCGCUCUGGGCCGUAACUGACGCUGAGGAGCGAAAGCAUGGGUAGCAAACAGG